GACAUCCUUCCUUCAUACUGGAGUCUUUGCCCAGAGUGUGACCCUGUCAUCUCAGAUGCCAUGUGCCACAGCACCGGGAAGAGAACGGGGCUGAAUGUUAACAAGAAAGUGGAAGGAAGCUCUGUCUGAAGAGAAACAGGAGGCCAGCACCAGCUGCACACCUGGGAUCCCAGCCCUCGGGGAGCUGGAGGGACAAGCAGAUGUGACAUUCAAGGUCAGCUUGGACUACCUGAGAUAAUUUAGCUCAUAAACAAAACCACGCAAACAAAAGAAAGCCACGUGGAGGCAGGAGGCUCCCCUAAGAAGCAGGAUUUAUGCAUAUCUCCUGCUCUGCUUGGCCUGGGAGCUUUCCCCACUUUGCCUACAGGCAUCCAGAUAAUGAGUUUGUGUUCCUUGUGUUAAGAGGCACAUCAGCUCCCUAUCAGACUGGCCUUCCCGGUGCUCUACUGAGCACAGAAGCACUUAUUGUUAUCUCUCACCAAUCUUGUACCCCUUGUAGACUUGCCAUUCCUUUCCAACUUCAAUAAGUUUCUCCUUAAAUAACCUUGUCUAAUUAAGUUCUCCUCCCCAACACCCCGCAUAAGUCCCAAUCUGUCUUACAGCCCUUCAGUCCUAAGACUCCAAUAAAGUUCUUUGUUCUUUACUGA
rnacentral:lncRNA from 1 species